GACGAACGCUGGCGGCGUGCUUAACACAUGCAAGUCGAACGGAAAGGCCCUGCUUGCAGGAUCCUCGAGUGGCGAACGGGUGAGUAACACGUGGGUGAUCUGCCCUGCACUUCGGGAUAAGCCUGGGAAACUGGGUCUAAUACCGGAUAGGAGCCAUUUUUAGUGUGAUGGUUGGAAAGUUUUUUCGGUGUAGGAUGAGCUCGCGGCCUAUCAGCUUGUUGGUGGGGUAAUGGCCUACCAAGGCGGCGACGGGUAGCCGGCCUGAGAGGGUGGACGGCCACAUUGGGACUGAGAUACGGCCCAGACUCCUACGGGAGGCAGCAGUGGGGAAUAUUGCACAAUGGGCGCAAGCCUGAUGCAGCGACGCCGCGUGGGGGAUGACGGCCUUCGGGUUGUAAACUCCUUUCGCUAGGGACGAAGCUUUUUGUGACGGUACCUAGAUAAGAAGCACCGGCUAACUACGUG
rnacentral:rRNA from 1 species